CAUGUGUCCCUGCACCCCAACCCCCAGCAACCACUGAGCUCUUCUCCAGUACAGUUUAGUCUCUUCAAGAAUCCCUUCGUCUGGAGAGUGACUUCUUUCAUUCAGCAUAAUGCCUUUGAGAUUCAUCUAAGUUGGUGAAGAUAAAGGGCUUCUUGCCAGGACAAGGAGGAUGCUCUAAAUGGGGGCCUCAAAGUAAGUCCCAAUUCUUACAAACAUUUUCUCAGUCUUGCAAAAUGUUUCCUUUGGUUUGGUUUUAAUGUGGGUAGGCGGACCAUUGUAGAAAUAAUAAAGGUGACUCACCUGUCCUGUGCUAAAGCGACUGCAAGCAAGCCCGCAGCUACCCCACCGCACUGCCAGUGGGUGGUCAGACAGGCCAAGGGGCCCCAGGGCUGUCUCUUGAUCACACAACCGUCCUGGAGCACUCAGGGUGCAGAUGGGCCGGUGGGCAGUGGAGAUUCUGGAGGGUUCCAGGGCAGGAAAGCACACUGCUCUCUAUGCUGGCUCCAUCGCCAAGCCUCGUUUUUGUUAUUUCUUUCUCUUAUUUUACUUUUUCAUCAAGGGACAUUGUAAACAUACUCAAUAGUAGAAUAGGAUAACAAACCCCCAGCUCAGGGCCAAAACUGUUUCAACGGACUCACACCCUCUCCCCUCGUGGUAAACUAUAAGGAUUCUUUAAAAACACAAUUACCAUUAUCACUCCUAAAAUAUUGAACAGUUACUUAAUAGUUUCAAAAUUCUGAGCCCUCGUCUUGAAGGUACGUUAGAGUCUUCCAGGCAGAAAGACGAUCGUCCGUCUAGCCCGAUGGUCCCCAACCCCGGGGAUGGGGAAGACUCCCAUUCACCCAGGAAGCCAGGGACAGAGAUGCGGCCCCUAUUCUUCCCCGCGGUCGGUCAAGACCUGCUCCGAUUGGCCCGGCGCGGAGCCGUCUGUCCGUGGGCGGCACCGACCACAGAGCGAGGGGAGAGAGCGCUCAGCACAGCGCACUGGCGCCCGGGGGCCCACCUUCCAGGAGCGGGCGCACCUCUCUCGGGUUAGAGGCUCCGGAACCGC
ensembl:lncRNA